rnacentral:rRNA from 1 species
CCGCAAACCGACACUGGUGCGCGAGAUGAGUAUUCUAAGGCGCUUGAGAGAACUCUGGAGAAGGAACUCGGCAAAUUGACACCGUAACUUCGGAAGAAGGUGUACCUUGAGUAGGUGAUGUCGAACAGACCGAGCCGAAAGGGGUCGCAGAGAAUCGGUGGCUGCGACUGUUUAUUAAAAACACAGCACUCUGCAAAGACGAAAGUCGACGUAUAGGGUGUGACGCCUGCCCGGUGCUGGAAGAUUAAAUGAUGGGGUGCAAGCUCUUGAUUGAAGUCCCAGUAAACGGCGGCCGUAACUAUAACGGUCCUAAGGUAGCGAAAUUCCUUGUCGGGUAAGUUCCGACCUGCACGAAUGGCGUAACGAUGGCCACGCUGUCUCCUCCAGAGACUCAGCGAAGUUGAAAUGUUUGUGAUGAUGCAAUCUCCCCGCGGAAAGACGGAAAGACCCCAUGAACCUUUACUGUAGCUUUACAUUGGACUUUGAACAGAUCUGUGUAGGAUAGGUGGGAGGCUUUGAAGCCGGGACGCUAGUUCUGGUGGAGCCAACGUUGAAAUACCACCCUGGUGUGUUUGAGGUUCUAACCUUGGCCCGUUAUCCGGGUUGGGGACAGUGUAUGGUAGGCAGUUUGACUGGGGCGGUCUCCUCCCAAAGCGUAACGGAGGAGUUCGAAGGUACGCUAGGCACGGUCGGAAAUCGUGCUGAUAGUGCAUUGGCAUAAGCGUGCUUGACUGCGAGACUGACAAGUCGAGCAGGUACGAAAGUAGGACUAAGUGAUCCGGUGGUUCUGUAUGGAAGGGCCAUCGCUCAACGGAUAAAAGGUACUCUGGGGAUAACAGGCUGAUACCGCCCAAGAGUUCAUAUCGACGGCGGUGUUUGGCACCUCGAUGUCGGCUCAUCUCAUCCUGGGGCUGUAGCCGGUCCCAAGGGUAUGGCUGUUCGCCAUUUAAAGAGGUACGUGAGCUGGGUUUAAAACGUCGUGAGACAGUUUGGUCCCUAUCUUCCGUGGGCGCUGCAAGAUUGAGAGAGCCUGCUCCUAGUACGAGAGGACCGGAGUGGACGCACCGCUGGUGUAUCGGUUGUCAUGCCAGUGGCAUUGCCGAGUAGCUAAGUGCGGAAGAGAUAACCGCUGAAAGCAUCUAAGCGGGAAACUCGUCUCAAGAUGAGUCUUGCCGGGGACUUGAGCCCCCUGAAGAGUCGUCCGAGACCAGGACGUUGAUAGGUCGGGUGUGGAAGCGUAGUAAUGCGUUGAGCUAACCGAUACUAAUUGCUCGUGCGGCUUGACCCU